rnacentral:rRNA from 1 species
UACGAAGGGGGCGAGCGUUUGUUCGGAUUUACUGGGCGUAAAGGGCGCGCAGGCGGCUCAUUUUGUCAGGCGUGAAAGCCCCGGGCUUAACCUGGGAACUGCGUUUGAGACGGAUGGGCUAGAGUUCGGGAGAGGAGAGUGGAAUUCCCAGUGUAGAGGUGAAAUUCGUAGAUAUCGGGAGGAACACCGGUGGCGAAGGCGGUUCUCUGGGCCUGUACUGACGCUGAGGAGCGAAAGCGUGGGGGAGCGAACAGGG